rnacentral:lncRNA from 1 species
ACUUAGUAAGACCGGGCAAAAUUGGCCUUUCUUUGUGUCUUUGCUUUAUUCCUGUUACACGAUAAUAAGCAAAGAGGGGCAGCUGUUGUAGGCCAAUUUUAACCCAUUUACAUCAAAACCCAAUUUAACCUUACCUAACCCACCAAAAUUAAACCCAAAACCCAAAAUCUUAACUACCCAAAGCCCAAUUUACAUCAAAAC